GGACGCUCACGUUGGCAUGGGGCACGGCGGCCGCCGAGGGAGCCGAGCCGGCGGAUGUGGAGGCUGCCGAGCAGCGGUGUUCGCGUGAAGGAGGAAUAUGAUGAUGCGUGGAGUGGCGUGGAGUGCCAACCAUCUCCAUCGAGCGGCGGUGCUCGCGUGAAGGAUGAGUUCAUGGUAGCAACACUCUCCCAUCUGUGGCUGCGCGUUUGACUGGCCAGUCAAGGAGCUCCGGCAAGCAGGUCCGCCUACUCUGCUUUCCCCUGAGCUCCUGCAACAACCACAACUUAUGUGUAGUAUCAGCCAGAGAACUACACAAAUCAUGUUCCUGACUUGAGAAGAAUGCACAUGGCCUUGCUGAGAACAUAAUACUGUUUCGAUGAUCUGUGGCUUUGAACAAUAGGUGACAGAUUGUGUUUUCAAUUGAUUCAUGGUCUGUUGUUUUUAAAAAACGCUUGGCACAUCCUCAACAAAAUCCUGAUUAAACGAUAGGCUUGGCAUAUAUUUUUUAUCACUAUGGUUGCUUUUAUCCGCAACUGAUUUCUCUGAUUCCUCUCCCAUGCUGUGAUGCAAUUGUUUUGGGAAAUUCCCCAAGGCCUUAUGUUUUAUGUUAUUGGGAACUGCAUGACACCCAGCGAGUGUUUAGGAUCCAAGACAAGGCAGUUCUUGACAUGCUCCUGGCACACCUUGGACUAUCACCAGCUCUUUUGCACAUACAUGUGAUGUGUUGAAGCCUAUCCAUCUGUCCGUUCUUUGUCAGGGUCACAAAGUCUUUGUGCCAGGAUUCUUCCCUUUGUAUAUAUGAAAGCGGCUUGUACGAUCUAUUCACAGACUUGCUCUGCUGCUUUGUAGCCCAACUGAUUAUGUACUCUUGAUCGUCCUCAUGGCAUCUGUCGACUCCAUUGUGAAUCGUCUCUUUA